CCGACGAGUUCCGGGUUCGAGCCCCGGGCAACCCA
rnacentral:tRNA from 27 species